GACUUUUUCCUCCCACAUCGAUUGACGAGAGCGGCCGCCCCUGCCGCCCCUGCCGCACUGCCCUCCUAACGUCCCGGCCGCCACUACCGUCCCGGCCGCGCCCUGGGUUCGUCGUGUUGUAAAUUUCUUCGUCCCGGCCGCCCCUGCCGUCGAUGCCCCUCUGCCCCGCCGCUCGCGGAGACGCAACCGCCGUCGUCGGUCCAGACAAAGCAGCCGCCGCGUCGCUGCGGCCCCUGCUGAUGUCGCUGCGGCCCCUGCUUCAGUUAAUACUAACGUGAACCAGCUGGCCUCAGCUGGCCUACUAACAGAGUUUUCUUCACUUAUCGUCGUCAUACUGGCCUUUAAUUUCGCCCUUACAAACAUGGGUUUGGGUAUAAAUGUAUGUUUGCUGGUUUCCUUAGUGUUCAAAAUAAUUAACACGUGCUGGUGUUUAGCGGUGAACUCAGACAAGAAAGAGAACAGGGGGAAUUUUAAGUGUCAAUGUCUUAUGUCCCAAAUACUGUCUGGUCUGGUGAUGUGUUUCACCAUUGGCGUGGCAAAAUUGACGAAUGACGGUCUUUUUUUCAAAAACGCCACUCAAGGGGGGGGGGGGAAUUGAUGUUUUCUUUUUGGCGGUGGUGAUCUAAUGAUUCCCGAAAAAUGAUUUUGUAUUUUUUCUCUUUGUUUUUUUUCUUAUGACCAUAUUAACCUAGCAUUCGUUCGUUUCCACCAACCAACACUCUGCUCCGGAAUACUCUGCCUCUCCUUCCUAUGUAACCCCGGGCACCCUUUUGCCUUUAUUACGAAUUCGUGUUCUUACGCCGCCUCAAGAUCUUUUAAUGGAAAACACUGGACGCGCUGACGUUUAUUGUGUGUUGGGCACAGGAGAUUGUCAGGCCACAGAAAUGUACCACUACGCGGAUGCAACACCUGAUUUUUAUUCCAACAGUUACUGUUCCGAUUCGUUCGCUAGUAUUGAAUAAAACAAAAAUUUAUGGUAA